CAGUGAUAUACAGGUUCAGAAUUCUGGGAUCUAUUAUUAACAAGCCAUGAGAAGUCAGAAAUCCUUUCAAGCUCUUGUACUCUGCUUCUUUGACCAUCACAAGAGAAUUCAACUUUCUGUUUAACUUAGAAAGGCUUGGGAUAAAGGGCUCAAGCACCUCUUACUGCCUCCUCACUCUGGAACCAAAUGCCUUACUUGACAGGAUCACAGAAUGUGAAUUUUGAACAGAUCUGAAAAGUUAUUAAGUUCAACUCCACAGAGGUUCCUAGGAGAAUGUUAACAGUCCAGACCUUUUUCACUACAUCAACCACGGAUGAUUGGCAUAUAAAAUCCUACUUAACCUUUACAUAACUGCAAUACCAGGAAACAAAUAUGUCAAUAAAAGGAAACAUCAUUCAAU
rnacentral:lncRNA from 10 species